GAUGAACGCUGGCGGCGUGCCUAAUACAUGCAAGUCGAGCGAACGGACGAGAAGCUUGCUUCUCUGAUGUUAGCGGCGGACGGGUGAGUAACACGUGGAUAACCUACCUAUAAGACUGGGAUAACUUCGGGAAACCGGAGCUAAUACCGGAUAAUAUUUUGAACCGCAUGGUUCAAAAGUGAAAGACGGUCUUGCUGUCACCUAUAGAUGGAUCCGCGCUGCAUUAGCUAGUUGGUAAGGUAACGGCUUACCAAGGCAACGAUGCAUAGCCGACCUGAGAGGGUGAUCGGCCACACUGGAACUGAGACACGGUCCAGACUCCUACGGGAGGCAGCAGUAGGGAAUCUUCCGCCAUGGGCGAAAGCCUGACGGAGCAACGCCGCGUGAGUGAUGAAGGUCUUCGGAUCGUAAAACUCUGUUAUGAGGGAAGAACAUAUGUGUAAGUAACUGUGCACAUCUUGACGGUACCUAAUCAGAAAGCCACGGCUAACUACGUG
rnacentral:rRNA from 1 species